AGAGUUUGAUCAUGGCUCAGAUUGAACGCUGGCGGAAUGCUUUACACAUGCAAGUCGAACGGCAGCACGGACUUCGGUCUGGUGGCGAGUGGCGAACGGGUGAGUAACAUAUCGGAACGUAUCCAAUAAUGGGGGAUAACUAAUCGAAAGGUUGGCUAAUACCGCAUACGCCCUACGGGGGAAAGCUAGGGACCUUCGGGCCUGGCGUUAAUGGAGCGGCCGAUAUCUGAUUAGCUAGUUGGUGGGGUAAAGGCCCACCAAGGCGACGAUCAGUAGCUGGUCUGAGAGGACGACCAGCCACACUGGAACUGAGACACGGUCCAGACUCCUACGGGAGGCAGCAGUGGGGAAUUUUGGACAAUGGGCGCAAGCCUGAUCCAGCCAUUCCGCGUGAGUGAAGAAGGCCUUCGGGUUGUAAAGCUCUUUCGCAAGGGAAGAAAACUUAGUCUCUAACAUAGACUGAGGUUGACGGUACCUUGAUAAGAAGCACCGGCUAACUACGUGCCAGCAGCCGCGGUAAUACGUAGGGUGCGAGCGUUAAUCGGAAUUACUGGGCGUAAAGCGUGCGCAGGCGGUUUUGCAAGUCAGAUGUGAAAUCCCCGAGCUCAACUUGGGAACUGCGUUUGAAACUACAAGACUAGAAUAUGUCAGAGGGGGGUAGAAUUCCACGUGUAGCAGUGAAAUGCGUAGAGAUGUGGAG
rnacentral:rRNA from 1 species